UGGCUAAAUCACGUUGAAACACCGUUUCCUCUACGAUCAACGAAGUUAAGCAACGUCGAACGUGGUCAGUACCUAGAUGGGUGACCCCAUGGGAACACUACGUGCUGUA